AGAAUCAACGCUGGCGGCGUGCCUAACACAUGCAAGUCGCACGAGAAAGGGGAGCAAUCCCUGAGUACAGUGGCGCACGGGUGAGUAACACGUGAAUCAUCUACCUCCGAGUGGGGAAUAACUGAGAGAAAUCUUAGCUAAUACCGCAUAACACUUACGAGUCAAAGCAGCAAUGCGCUUGGAGAGGAGUUCGCGGCAGAUUAGUUAGUUGGCGGGGUAAUGGCCCACCAAGACGAUGAUCUGUAUCCGGCCUGAGAGGGCGCACGGACACACUGGAACUGAAACACGGUCCAGACUCCUACGGGAGGCAGCAGUGGGGAAUUUUGCGCAAUGGGGGAAACCCUGACGCAGCAACGCCGCGUGGAGGAUGAAGCCCCUUGGGGUGUAAACUCCUUUCGAUCGGGAAGAUAAUGACGGUACCGAUAUAAGAAGCCCGGCUAACUUCGUGCCAGCAGCCGC
rnacentral:rRNA from 1 species